UAAACUGCCCUUUUCAGGGCAACCCAUUUAAAACUGUCCUUUUCAU
rfam:Ciona savignyi cont_20387, whole genome shotgun sequence.